AUUGAACGCUGGCGGCAGGCUUAACACAUGCAAGUCGAACGAGCGGCGGACGGGUGAGUAAUGUCUGGGGAUCUGCCCGAUAGAGGGGGAUAACUACUGGAAACGGUGGCUAAUACCGCAUACUAUCGGAUGUGCCCAUAUGGGAUUAGCUAGUAGGUGGGGUAAAGGCUCACCAAGGCGACGAUCCCUAGCUGGUCUGAGAGGAUGACCAGCCACACUGGGAGUGAGACACGGCCCAGACUCCUACGGGAGGCAGCAGUGGGGAAUAUUGCACAAUGGGCGCAAGCCUGAUGCAGCCAUGCCGCGUGUAUGAAGAAGGCCUUCGGGUUGUAAAGGACUUUCAGCAGGGAGGCGUUACCCGCAGAAGAAGCACCGGCUAACUCCGUGCCAGCAGCCGCGGUAAUUC
rnacentral:rRNA from 1 species